rnacentral:rRNA from 1 species
AACGAACGCUGGCGGCAUGCCUAACACAUGCAAGUCGAACGAGACCUUCGGGUCUAGUGGCGCACGGGUGCGUAACGCGUGGGAACCUGCCCUUAGGUUCGGCAUAACUACCCGAAAGGGGUGCUAAUACCGGACAAUGUCUUCGGCCCAAAGAUUUAUCGCAUUUGGAUGGGCACGCGUUGGAUUAGCUAGUUGUUAGGGUAAUAGCCUACCAAGGCGACGAUCCAUAGCUGGUCUGAGAGGAUGAUCAGCCACACUGGGACUGAGACACGGCCCAGACUCCUACGGGAGGCAGCAGUGGGGAAUAGUGGACAAUGGGCGAAAUCCUGAUCCAGCAAUGCCGCGUGAGUGAUGAAGGCCGGAGGGUUGUAAAGCUCUUUUACCCGGGAUGAUAAUGACAGUACCGGGAGAAUAAGCUCCGGCUAACUCCGUG